rnacentral:rRNA from 1 species
CAGUCGCCGCGGUAAAACGUAGGGUGCAAGCGUUAAUCGGAAUUACUGGGCGUAAAGCGUGCGCAGGCGGUUUGUUAAGACAGAUGUGAAAUCCCCGGGCUCAACCUGGGAACUGCAUUUGUGACUGGCAAGCUAGAGUGUGGCAGAGGGGGGUGGAAUUCCGCGUGUAGCAGUGAAAUGCGUAGAUAUGCGGAGGAACACCGAUGGCGAAGGCAGCCCCCUGGGCCAACACUGACGCUCUUGCACGAGAGCGCGGGGAGCAAACAGGAUUAGAUACCCCAGUAGUCCCUGUCUCUUAUAC